UACGGAGGGAGCUAGCGUUGUUCGGAAUUACUGGGCGUAAAGCGCACGUAGGCGGCUUUGUAAGUUAGAGGUGAAAGCCCGGAGCUCAACUCCGGAACUGCCUUUAAGACUGCAUCGCUUGAAUCCAGGAGAGGUGAGUGGAAUUCCGAGUGUAGAGGUGAAAUUCGUAGAUAUUCGGAAGAACACCAGUGGCGAAGGCGACUUACUGGACACAUAUUGACGCUGAGGUGCGAAAGCGUGGGGAGCAAACAGG
rnacentral:rRNA from 1 species